GGUCAGUAGGUUGGUCGUGCCACCGGUACGUACUGGUCUCACUGAUUCCUCCUUCCUGAAGAACCGUAAUGCCAUUAAUCUGGUGUUGCGGGGAAACAGGACUGUUACUUUGAAAAAAUUAGAGUGUUUAAAGCAAGCUAACGCUUGAAUACAUUAGCAUGGAAUAAUGAAAUAGGACGAUCGAUCCUAUUUUGUUGGUUUCUAGGAUUGACGUA
rnacentral:rRNA from 1 species